UGUUCCGGGGUAUCCCCGGAGCGGCCGUGGUGGCCACAAUUGGAAUCUGAGCCGCCAUCCCUACGUCUGAGUCUUCUUCCCUUCCCCCCACCCCCCUUGCUUUCUCUGCAAAGGUCCUCGGACUUCCGGCUCGAGACAGCCCAGUGAAAUGUCCCUACAAGGAGGUGCUCACAGCAGCCCGUUUCUUCCAUCCCAGAUCUUCCUAUACCACGUGAGUUAAAGCUCUCAAGAUUCACAUCUUAGAUCCACCUCACUCUAAAAGGCACAGCUGUCACAAGUUCAGAAGUGACACACCUUCUUAAAACCAUGCCAGGUAUGCAGGAGGAAUGGUCACCCCGAGGGGUGGACUAACCCAGCCAACGCAGCUCCCCAUUAUCUGAAGCAGCUAACAGGACCAGUGUUUGUUCCCAGACCUGGAAUAUAAUGGUUCGUGAUUUCUCAAUUGAAGGUUUGUCUCCUUCAAAGACCUGACCGGGGACUAUUUCUGAGAACAAUGGAAAUCUCACUCCCACCUGCCCAGGUUCACAGCCGGGCACUAAUAAAUGAACACAUGCCUUAAUGAUGACCCAGUGCCAUCAUCCUUAGCCCUCAGCCCUCCUUGCCUCUUCCCUGUGGCUGACCACACCAGCUGGCUUUGUUACCACUGAGUCCUCCCCACCUGGUGAGUUAUGGGCAGACUGUGAAAUAGCAGCUCUGCCCUUCCUCUUCCCAUUCUCAACUUUCCCCCCUGUGUGCUUCCUCGGGUAAAGUUGCCUCAUUCUUUCAUGAAAUUUCUUCCCCCAGCCCCUGCUACAGGAUAUGCAUGCAAUCAA